GGGAGUAUAGCUCAGUGGUAGAGUAUUUGACUGCAGCUCCAGAGGUCCCUGGUUCAAUUCCAGGUGCUCCCU